rnacentral:rRNA from 1 species
GAUGAACGCUGGCGGCGUGCCUAAUACAUGCAAGUCGAGCGAACAGACGAGGAGCUUGCUCCUCUGACGUUAGCGGCGGACGGGUGAGUAACACGUGGAUAACCUACCUAUAAGACUGGGAUAACUUCGGGAAACCGGAGCUAAUACCGGAUAAUAUAUUGAACCGCAUGGUUCAAUAGUGAAAGACGGUUUUGCUGUCACUUAUGGAUGGAUCCGCGCCGCAUUAGCUAGUUGGUAAGGUAACGGCUUACCAAGGCGACGAUGCGUAGCCGACCUGAGAGGGUGAUCGGCCACACGGGAACUGAGACACGGUCCAGACUCCUACGGGAGGCAGCAGUAGGGAAUCUUCCGCAAUGGGCGAAAGCCUGACGGAGCAACGCCGCGUGAGUGAUGAAGGUCUUCGGAUCGUAAAACUCUGUUAUUAGGGAAGAACAAAUGUGUAAGUAACUAUGCACGUCUUGACGGUACCUAAUCAGAAAGCCACGGCUAACUACGUG